rnacentral:lncRNA from 1 species
UGAACAGAUAUGCAACAGAAUGGAAGACACAGACACAUAUCCACACAUGAAUACAGGGAUCUCAUACUAGACAAAGGCGCCAUAUACAUACAUUGGAGAAAAGAUAGCUUCUUCAACAAAUGGUGCUGGGCAAAGUGGAAAUCCAUAUGGAGAAGAAUGAAAUUGAGCCCUGUCUCUCACCCUGCACAAAACUCAAUUCAAAAUGGAUCAAGGACCUAGGCAUUAGACCAGGGACUCUGUGCCAACUAAAAGAAAAUGUAGGACCAACUCUCUACCAUGUCGGCUUAGGAACUGACUUCCUUAGUAAGACUCUUAACGUGCAAGAAGUAGAAUCAAGAAUCCACAGAUGGAAUGGAAUCAAACUAAAAAACUUCUUCACAGCAAAGGAAACAAUCAAGAACCUGAAGAGAGAGCCUACAGGAUGGGAGAAAAUCUUUACCAUACGUGCCUCAGAGCCCUGAUCUCCAGGAUAUACAAAGAACCCAAAAACUUCACACCCCCAAAACAAAUAACCCAGUUAAUAAAUGGGCUAAGGAACCGAACAGCCACUUUACAGAAGAAAUAUGAAUGGUCAACAAAUACAUGAAAAAAUGUUCAACAUCUCUAGCAAUUAGAGAAAUGCAAAUUAAAACUACACUGAGAUUUCAUCUCACUCUGGUCAGAAUGGCAAUUAUCAAGACUAUAAGCAAC